AGACCUCUCAGGCACCCACAACCAGCGCUGAUCGGGAUGGAGCACCAACCCCAUUCCAGGAAGAGGUCCAGUCUGCCCCGGGUCAGAACCACUUCUAUAGCAACUACACAAAUGUGUAUGCACCUAUCAUUAUUGAUAGCCAGUCUGAGCCAGAAGACAAAAUGGAGCAAACUGCAGAUGAUAGCACAGAAUACCUGACUGCGGAGGACAUUGUUGCAGAACUCUCUGUGUGUGUGUGUGGGAUGGAGCAACCGCGGCUUCAAACGGGCCUCAUUCGACCCCUCAUGAGAUGUCAGUUAAGUUCACUGAUGAUGAGGGACACACUGAGGAUGAGGGACACACUGAGGAUGGAGGGGACACACUGAGGAUGGAGGGG